rnacentral:rRNA from 1 species
CUGGUUGAUCCUGCCUGAACUGAUGUGCUUAUCUCAAAGAUUAAGCCAUGCAUGUCUAAGUAUAAACGAUUUAAUCGUGAAACCGCGAAUGGCUCAUUAUAACAGCUAUAAUUUACUUGAUCUUGACACAAUCCUACUUGGAUAACUGUGGUAAUUCUAGAGCUAAUACAUGCAUUAAAGCUCUGACCUCACGGGAAGAGUGCAUUUAUUAGAACAAAACCAAGCGGCUUCGGCUGUUUCUGGUUGACUCAUAGUAACUGAGCUGAUCGCAUGGUCUUGCACCGGCGACGUGUCUUUCAAGUAUCUGCCGUAUCAACUUUCGAUGGUAGUGUAUCUGACUACCAUGGUGAUCACGCGUAACGGAGAAUAAGGGUUCGGCUCCGGAGAGUUCGCCUGAGAAAUCGCGAACACAUCUAAGGAAGGCAGCAGGCGCGAAAAUUACCCACUCUCAGCACGAGGAGGUAGUGACGAAAAAUAACGAGACCGUUCUCUUAUGAGGCCGGUCAUCGGAAUGGGUACAAUUUAAACCCUUUAACGAGUAUCUAUGAGAGGGCAAGUCUGGU